CCGGGCAAGACCGGUGCCAGCCGCCGCGGUAACACCGGCGGCUCGAGUGGUAACCGUUAUUAUUGGGUCUAAAGGGUCUGUAGCCGGCCGGAUAAGUCUCUUGAGAAAUCUGGCAGCUUAACUGUCAGGCUUUCAGGAGAUACUGUCUGGCUCGAGGCCGGGAGAGGUGAGAGGUACUUCAGGGGUAGGGGUGAAAUCUUGUAAUCCUUGAAGGACCACCAGUGGCGAAGGCGUCUCACCAGAACGGACCUGACGGCAAGGGACGAAAGCUAGGGGCACGAACCGGAUUAGAUACCCGGGUAGUCCUAGCCGUAAACGAUACUCGCUAGGUGUCGGCCACGGUGCGACCGUUGUCGGUGCCGUAGGGAAGCCGUGAAGCGAGC
rnacentral:rRNA from 1 species